UUUAUUACAUACAAAUAUAGACAAUAAAUGUUAUUUUAAGUAGCGGAAAAAAAUGAGAAUGAGAGAAAGAAAAAUGAGGUGGAAAGAGAAAAAAAAAUGAAAAAAAAGAUGUGAAUUUGUUUGUCAACGUUUUCCUUUAAACAUAAUGAUAUGUCUAUAAUUUGCAUGUUUUGUGUGUUCAUUCAUCAUCGUUUUGAGUCUAGUUUCAUAUCUUUCAUCACUAUUUUAUAUCAUUUCUCAUCAUUCUUGCAUACUUUGCAUGAUUAGGAUAGCUUUGCAUACAUAUUGUAUUUUUGAGUUGUUUUCAGGUGAUUUGGGCUGUUGGCGAGGAAAUUGGAAGAAGCGAGCCAGAACCAGAAGACAUACUCGACCCCCAGGUCGAGUACAUCCAACACCAUACUCGACCCCCUGGUCGAGUGACAUUGGAGCCAUUCUUCCAAUCUACUCGACCCCGUGGUCGAGUAACCAUAGCUCAGGCCACUCGAUGACACCACUCGACCCCAUGGUCGAGUAUCACUACACCACACCACUUGACCAUCACUCGGCCAUUCACUCUACCACAUCACUCAACCCCCUGGUCGAGUAUCAUCACUCAACACCAACACCAUCACUCGACCAAACACUCGAUCACAUCUUCAAAGUCUACUCAAAUUCGCACUUAACAAGACAAGCUGAGCACAAGGACGAGAAGAGGAGAAGAAGAAGUGUUUGGAAGCGGUCUGGAGCUUCAUCCGAUCACGAAGCCCAUCUCGGCCCAUUAUCACUCUAUGGGCCGGUCGAUUAGGUUCCCGGCCCAUCAACUAUCAUUUUAUUUUGUUUUGUAUAAAUAGGUGUCUGAGGGUUUUGUCCUAAGACAUCCAGUCGACAUUGAGUUUUUGCUUCAGUUUUAUUUUCUGAUUUACUCUGGCUGCGCCGCUUUGCUUCUGUAACCUGUAAUUCGAUAUUUUUCCAAGUUAUUCAGAUUCAGCAUUUGAUUUCAUCUGUCAUCUUGUUUCUCUACUCUUUAUCUCUUUACUUAUGCAAUAUUAUCAUUUACCUGCGUUUAUGUCUUUGAGCAUGUUGUUUGAGUAGUGACAUAGAGUUCUUAAGGAUGGGAUAGAAUGGUUGUGGAAUCCUUAGUCUGUAGAAUGGUUAAGUUUUAGAAUUGAUUGAAAUCCCUUCAGGACUAGUUGUGUUUACUGCUUAUUUCUUUCUGAUCAACUGGAAUUCGAUCCAAAGCAUUCCCGCACCCAGAAGGUAUUCGAUGGAAUGCUUGAUCCACUAGUUCUUGAGAUAUGCAUCUCUAUCCCAAGGGAUUGGCCGUUUAGAGCGUGUAUUGACUUUAUUAGUCGGUUCUUAUUGCCUGUAUAGUUAGAUUCCGUUAAUGGGAAUUAGUCUAGGCUUGCUUUGCUUGAAGAUUUCUAUCACGGGAGUGAAUAGAUCUGUUGUUGAACCUUUUGUCUAGAGAUAGCUUGAUUGCGCUUGUUAACCAUCCGAAUAGGCUAGGAUACCACUCCAUUUGAUUACCCCAUCCUUAGGAAUUUCUCGUCUAACUGAUUUCUCAGUUUUAUCGCUAUCGCUUAAUCGUUCUCAUUGCAUGUUUUUUAGUUUUUGCAAUUACUCGACCAACUUACUCGACCACACCUAGUGUCUGGCAACAGACUGUGCAGUCGAGUACAGUUGUCUCAUUUCCUGUCUGUUACUCGACUAGCAUACUCGACCACACCGAAGGGCUGGCAACAGACUGUGCAGUCGAGUAUAGCUGUUUCAUUUCCUACCUGUUACUCGAUCACAUCCUGCUUCUGUCAUCAACCAGUUGUGGUCGAGUGAUUUUAGUAAUUCUGUUAAAAUUUUUGUUUUCUGCAUGUUUGCUUAUGACUGUUAGAAACCUCAAAACCGUUAUUGCUUGGCUUGACUUAGUGACUUCUGAUCACAUCUCAUCUGUUUGCAUCACACCUUAUUGGAUUGACACCUAAAAUACUACAACGACAAGAUAGUGUUUUAGGAUAAUUGACUAAAAACAUACUAUCACAAAAUAUCUUGUUGAAGGAUAUUUUGUUAUUGAUUUGAAUUGAACCGUUAAAAAAAAUUAUAAAAAAA
rnacentral:sRNA from 1 species